rnacentral:rRNA from 1 species
CAGCCGCCGCGGUAAUACCGGCGGCCCGAGUGGCGGUCACUCUUAUUGGGCUUAAAGCGUCCGUAGCCGGGUUGGGAAGUCCUCCGGGAAAUCUGGCCGCUUAAAGGUCAGAAUGCCGGAGGAUACUCCCAGCCUAGGGAGCGGGAGAGGCCGAGGGUAUUCCCGGAGUAGGGGGGAAAUCCUAUAAUCCCGGGAGGACCACCUGUGGCGAAGGCGCUCGGCUGGAACGCGUCCGACGGUGAGGGACGAAGGCCAGGGGAGCAAACCGGAUUAGAUACCCGGGUAGUCCUGGCUGUAAACGAUGCGGACUUUGUGUCGGACAAGCUAUGAGCUUGUCCGGUGCCGGAGGGAAACCGUUAAGUCCGCCGCCUGGGGAGUACGGCCGCAAGGCUGAAACUUAAAGGAAUUGGCGGG